UUGACUUGUUGAGUGUAAGAAUUAAUUUUAUAUUUUCUAUACGAGUAAUAAUGUAUAUACAAUAUAAUGGUUGACAUUUGUGUGAUUCACAUAUGUUAACACAGUAAAUAGCGUUGAAAAUUAUUUUUCUUUUUGCAUGCCUACGCAGGCGAAAAUUUCGACGAAAGAUCAGUGGAGAAAAAUUUAAGCGCGUUAUCUUAUC